rnacentral:rRNA from 1 species
GGGUUGUGAGGUUAAGCGACUAAGCGUACACGGUGGAUGCCCUGGCAGUCAGAGGCGAUGAAGGACGUGCUAAUCUGCGAAAAGCGUCGGUAAGGUGAUAUGAACCGUUAUAACCGGCGAUGUCCGAAUGGGGAAACCCAGUGCAAUUCGUUGCACUAUCGUUAACUGAAUACAUAGGUUAACGAGGCGAACCGGGGGAACUGAAACAUCUAAGUACCCCGAGGAAAAGAAAUCAACCGAGAUUCCCCCAGUAGCGGCGAGCGAACGGGGAGCAGCCCAGAGUCUGAAUCAGCUUGUGUGUUAGUGGAACGGUCUGGAAAGUCCGACGGUACAGGGUGAUAGUCCCGUACACCAAAAUGCACAGGCUGUGAACUCGAAGAGUAGGGCGGGACACGUGGUAUCCUGUCUGAAUAUGGGGGGACCAUCCUCCAAGGCUAAAUACUCCUGACUGACCGAUAGUGAACCAGUACCGUGAGGGAAAGGCGAAAAGAACCCCGGCGAGGGGAGUGAAAAAGAACCUGAAACCGUGUACGUACAAGCAGUGGGAGCACCUUCGGGUGUGACUGCGUACCUUUUGUAUAAUGGGUCAGCGACUUAUAUUCUGUAGCAAGGUUAACCGUAUAGGGGAGCCGCAGGGAAACCGAGUCUUAACUGGGCGUUAAGUUGCAGGGUAUAGACCCGAAACCCGGUGAUCUAGCCAUGGGCAGGUUGAAGGUUGGGUAACACUAACUGGAGGACCGAACCGACUAAUGUUGAAAAAUUAGCGGAUGACUUGUGGCUGGGGGUGA